UAGCUCAGUGAGGCGUCCGGACUGGCCCAGAGUGAUGGGCAACUACCGCUCAGGGCCGGAAAGCUCUCCAAACUCGGUCAUUUAGAGGAAGUAAAAGUCGUAACAAGGUCUCCGUUGGUGAACCAGCGGAGGGAUCAUUA
rnacentral:rRNA from 1 species